rnacentral:tRNA from 1 species
GGAGGUAUAGCUCAGUGGUAGAACAUCUACCUAGCAUGCAUGACGUCCUGGGUUCAAUCCCUAGCAUCUCCA